rnacentral:piRNA from 1 species
UCUGGCUAAACAUUCAUUAUCUGUCACUAG